GAUGAACGCUGGCGGCGUGCCUAACACAUGCAAGUCGAGCGAUCUUCUUCGGAAGGGAGCGGCGGACGGGUGAGUAACGCGUGGGUAACCUGCCCUGUACACACGGAUAACAUACCGAAAGGUAUGCUAAUACGGGAUAACAUAAGAAAGUCGCAUGGCUUUCUUAUCAAAGCUUUUGCGGUACAGGAUGGACCCGCGUCUGAUUAGCUAGUUGGUAAGGUAACGGCUUACCAAGGCGACGAUCAGUAGCCGACCUGAGAGGGUGAUCGGCCACAUUGGAACUGAGACACGGUCCAAACUCCUACGGGAGGCAGCAGUGGGGAAUAUUGCACAAUGGGCGAAAGCCUGAUGCAGCAACGCCGCGUGAGCGAUGAAGGCCUUCGGGUCGUAAAGCUCUGUCCUCAAGGAAGAUAAUGACGGUACUUGAGGAGGAAGCCCCGGCUAACUACGUGCCAGCAGCCGCGGUAAUACGUAGGGGGCUAGCGUUAUCCGGAAUUACUGGGCGUAAAGGGUGCGUAGGCGGUCUUUCAAGUCAGAAGUGAAAGGCUACGGCUCAACCGUAGUAAGCUUUUGAAACUGUAAGACUUGAGUGCAGGAGAGGAGAGUGGAAUUCCUAGUGUAGCGGUGAAAUGCGUAGAUAUUAGGAGGAACACCAGUUGCGAAGGCGGCUCUC
rnacentral:rRNA from 1 species